rnacentral:rRNA from 1 species
UCAAGCGAACAAGGGCGCAGGGCGAAUGCCUUGGCACUGGGAGCCGAUGAAAGACGUGAUAAGCUGCGAUAAGCUUCGGGGAGCUGCAAAUAAGCAUUGAUCCGGAGAUUUCUGAAUGAGGAAACUCACCUGGGUUCAUACUCAGGUACGUUAUACUGAACUUCAAAAUAGGUAUAUCGAGGGAACCGCCUGAACUGAAACAUCUAAGUAGGGCGAGGAAGAGACAUCAAACGAGAUUCCGUAAGUAGUGGCGAGCGAACGCGGAAGAGGGCAAACCGAGAGUAGAAAUACUUUCGGGGUACGGACUGCUUUUAGGACUUAAUCUGUUAACCGAACGGCAUGGGAAGGCCGGUCAGAGAGUGUGAGAACCACGUAGGUGAAAACGGAGAGAGCUGCGCAGGAUCCAGAGUACGGCCAGACACGUGAAACCUGGUCGGAAUACGGGGGGACCACCCUCCAACCCUAAAUACUACCCAGUGACCGAUAGCGUAUAGUACUGUGAAGGAAAGGUGAAAAGCACCCCGGGAGGGGAGUGAAAAAGAACCUGAAACCCUGUGCCUACAAGCACCUAGAGCACGUCAAUGUGUGAUAGGGUACUUUUUGUAGAACGGUCCGGCGAGCGAUUGUAUGCAGCAAGGUUAAGGACUUAAGGUCUGGAGCCGAAGCGAAAGCGAGUUUGAAAAGGGCGUUAAGUUGCAUAUAAUGGGCCCGAAACCGGGUGACCUACCCAUGGUCAGGUUGAAGUGGAAGUAAAAUUCCAUGGAGGACCGAACCGACCUCCGUUGAAAAGGCGGCGGAUGAACUGUGGGUAGCGGAGAAAUUCCAAUCGAACCCGGAGAUAGCUGGUUCUCCCCGAAAUAGUUUUAGGACUAGCCUCAAGUUAGAUACCUGGAGGUAAAGCACUGAAUAGCCUAGCGGCCGAGAGGUUAGCGAAGCUUAUCAAACUCAGAAUGCCAGAGUAUUGAUGCUUGGGAGUCAGACAGUGUCAGAUAAAUGUCAUUGUCAAAAGGGAAACAGCCCAGAUCUACAGCUAAGGUCCCAAAGUCAGGUUAAGUGGAAAACGAUGUGAAGAUACGUAGACAACCAGGAUGUUGGCUCAGAAGCAGCCACUCAUUCAAAGAGUGCGUAAUAGCUCACUGGUCGAGCGUCUUUGCGCGGAGAAUUUAACGGGGCUAAACCUGACACCGAAGCUUAGGCAGCAUGUUUACAUGCUGGGUAGGGGAGCGUUGUAUACGCGGUGAAACAGUAGCGCAAGCGGCUGUGGAGUGUAUAGAAGUGAGAAUGCCGGAAUGAGUAGCGCGAAUGCAGUGAGAAUCUGCAUGGCCGAAAGCCUCAGGUUUCUGGAGGAAGGUUCGUCCGCUCCAGGUUAGUCGGGAGCUAAGGUGAGGCCUAACGGCGUAGCCGAUGCACAGACGGUAGAGAUUCCGUCACCACCAAAAGAGUUAAACACAGGGACACAUUUGAAGUCUCGGAGCCGGGUGUUGGUUCCGGUAGCGAUCGAGGGAAGUUAGUACCGAAGUCCGGGAUGGAAGAUGGCGAGAAAAGCUGUGUGUAUUUCUGCGGUGCCCGUACCGCAAACCGACACAGGUAGGUAGGAAGAAGAUUCUAAGGCCAACGGGAGAAGGGUUGUUAAGGAACUCGGCAAAUUGACCCCGUAACUUCGGGAGAAGGGGUGCUCCAGAGAUGGAGCCGCAGAGAAUCGGCCCAAGCAACUGUUUACCAAAAACACAGGUUUGUGCUAAAUCGAAAGAUGACGUAUACGAGCUGACGCCUGCCCGGUGCUGGAAGGUUAAGAGGAGAUGUGCAAGCAUUGAAUCGAAGCCCCAGUGAACGGCGGCCGUAACUAUAACGGUCCUAAGGUAGCGAAAUUCCUUGUCAGGUAAGUUCUGACCCGCAUGAAAGGCGUAAUGAUUUGGGCACUGUCUCAACAGCCCGCCCGGCGAAAUUGUAGUACCGGUGAAGAUGCCGGUUACCCGCGACAAGACGGAAAGACCCCAUGGAGCUUUACUGUAGCCUAAUAUUGGGUUUCGAUGUUGCAUGCACAGGAUAGAUGGGACACUGGGAAGCAGGUGCUUUGGCGCUUGUGGAGUGGCCGUUGGGAUACCAUCCUUGCGAUAUUGGAAUUCUAACCUGCGCCUUUGAAUCAAGGCGGGGGACAUUGUUAGGUGGGCAGUUUGACUGGGGCGGUCGCCUCCUAAAGAGUA